UACGGGGGGAGCAAGCGUUGUUCGGAUUUACUGGGCGUAAAGGGCGCGUAGGCGGCGCCGCAAGUCGACUGUGAAAUCUCCGGGCUUAACCCGGAAAGGUCAGCCGAUACUGCGGGGCUAGAGUGCAGAAGGGGCAACUGGAAUUCUCGGUGUAGCGGUGAAAUGCGUAGAUAUCGAGAGGAACACCUGCGGCGAAGGCGGGUUGCUGGGCUGACACUGACGCUGAGACGCGAAAGCGUGGGGAGCAAACAGG
rnacentral:rRNA from 1 species